rnacentral:lncRNA from 1 species
UGUACAUCGUGCAAAUUCAUAUAAGCAUGCAAAGCAUGACGUGUUUACAUCGUCCAAUCCAAUUUUUUAUGACACCAGCGCAAGAGUUUUUAAUGAAAAUUAAUAAAAUAAAUAUUUAAACUCUUUCGAGACGGAUUUUUCUUUCGUGGCAAUCAACGCAAAAUACAAUAAUACCAUGAAAUAUAAUAAAUUGAUUGAAAAUAAGUUUAUAUUUUUAACUUUCAAGAAUAGAAUCUCAAUAAUCUCGUUUCUAAUAUGGGAUAUUACGUCAUGAUAAAUAUCUAAUCAGUAACAAAAAAUUUUUAACUUUCUUUUUCCGCAAUAAAUACAAUAAUUACUCAACGUCGAAAGUGAAAAUAUUAUAAAUACCUGAAAUAACAUCGUUCUUUUUUAUUUUUCAGAAGUGUCCAGCAGAUUCAUGGCCAGAUCGUCCUCGAAACAUUAGAUAGAUUCAUGGCCAGGUUGUCCUCGAAACAUUUAAAAUUCAGAAAAAGAAAAAAAAGAAAAAAAGAAGGAGAUCAGAAAAUAGUCAAAGACGCACUUGUGAAAGGUGUUGGAUUGCGCAACCAGUGGCGUUGAGAAAAGCGGCAAUUCCCCUCUUUUUUUUUUUUUUUUUCUUCACUGACAAACGGAAUUACGCAUAAUAAACGUAAACGAAGGUUUCACGGUGAACGUUUUUCGAACGACAGAACUUGGGGGAGCAGCUAAUUACCGAUUAGCCAGACGAAGCCUGGCUUUUCCUUAGCCACGGAUCUAUCGCACGUUUGAAAAAGAAUCUCGUCCAAAUUUUAUUUCCUCCGACUCGUGAUUGCGUAAUCGAACGAUUUUGCCUCGCGUCGCCUUUCACUUAUUCACGCAAAAACUUAACGACGAAACAGGAAUACGUAUAUUUUCUCUCUUUCCCCUCGUCUCUUUCUCUUUCUCUAUCGUCGAUAUCUUCCAAAUUGGAAGAACGGGGUCGAGGUGGGAUCCCGAAGUAGGUCCAUUUUGUCGAGCUGGUAAAUCUGUGACGAGUGGAAGGGUCAUGAAAUAAUGGAAUUAUGUUAUACAUAUUUUUGCUCACGGUAUUAGCGACACGAUUGAGUUUCGUGCUUGUGUUAUGUAACCACCGUGUUCCCUUUUCGAUGUAAUUUGAUUUAAAUUGUGGACUUGGAAGCGGUAAUCUACGAUGUAUGGUUUAUUGAGGAUAAAAGGCGAUACGUUUUUAAGGCUGCAAAAAUGAAUGGUAAGAAAAAUCGAAAGGUCGGAGUGGAAAAGGGAGAAGAAAGUUUCAGAAGCGAGAAAUUAUAUUUGCAACUUUUGCGGAGAUUCUUUCUUACUCGGACUUCGUUCUAAAUAAGAAUCAUAUAUUUCAAAAAUCUCAUUUUCUUAAAAAUUUCAUAUCAAGUUAAUCUUAAAAACAGCGAAAAAACAAGAUUUAUAAGAUUAUGGAUUUUCAGAAAAUGUUUUGAGAACAUGGAAGAAUUAAUUUUAAUUUGUUCCUUUUCUCUUCUGUUGGGUGUGAAUUUCUCGAAAAAAUUAUCGAGUUAUUGUAACACGAUUUUACUUUUCAAAGAGUCGCAAAAGCGAAAGAUGGAAGCGGAAAUAUUCGAGAAGAGUUUUACCUAUUAAACGUUUUCUGUAAUUUUUAAAACACAUCUACCUUUGAAACAGCAAAGAUAUCUUCGCCAAUUAUCGAGAAAAUCCGAUAAUUAAACGAGCAGGCUUGUUUAUCGGAACACGAGGUGGAAAAUGAAGGGAAUCGUCGCUGGAAUUCGAAACGAGCCACUGCACCCUUGGGACGCGUCGGUUUUUCACUCUGUAAUAGCUUCCACUAAUGCCACACAAAUUCAACAUAAUGAUAGGAAAUUGAAAAGACGACCAAAUGGGAUUUAUUCAGAGUAACUCGACGGAAUUGCAAUGAACGUAUUUUUCUCUGUUGACAAUUUUGCGAUUUAGCAAAGGUUUUAUUUAACGAGGAAGAGAAUUGUUUGUACUUUUUAAUCUUUACUUGAUAAAAUGAUAAAAUAUGGAAAUCGUACGACAACAGUGGAACAGAAUUGGAACAUUUUGGAAAUAAAUCCUCGUACAAUAAUUCUCAAAUUUGAUUUUCUAGAAAAAAAUCUCUCUUAUUUCUGAGGAAUCAAAUGAAAAAUGUCAAGAUCAAUGACGAAGGAAUGAUAUCCUUUUGUAACUUCAUAUCAAAGUUUAAAUUAAACUAAACUAUAAUAAUUAAUUCGGCCAUUCUUCGAACGCGUUUCUUUCUCCACAAAACGCUGCUCAGAAUUCAAAGAAUUUUCUUGCAACAUUAAACACACUUCGAAUUGCAAGAAUGUUGCCUGCGAUGCAUGGAGUUUCUGAAGUCGCUUAAUCCGAAACAGGAAUUAUUCCGUUUGGAGAAAAAGUUGGAAAGAAAGUAGGAGACCGACGUUAAUGAGAUCCUUUGUUGGCUUGUGAUUACAAUUUGUAAUCGUUGCACGAGUAUUAAUCAUUGCCAUAUUGAUUUAUUUUAAAUGAUUAAUGUAUGAAUAAUAAGAUAAUGAUCGAUCAUAGGAGAUCAUAAAUUGAGAAUUGGUGUGGAACGAUGAUUAUAAUCGAAUCGAGGCAGUAACAUUUGACCAGAUGCUUUGAAAAAUUAAUAAAUACGUACGUAUGCAAUACAUUUUGAUAAUCAGAAAUCAUUUUAAAGCAGAAUAUCAUUAUUCACAAAAAUAAACGAGUUCCAUGACACGAAAUUGAUUGAUUUAUUUAUGAAUAUUAAUAAACCAAAAAAAAAUUGAAUCGAAUUCAGAGAAAAUCUCAACGCAAUCGCUACUUUAAUCCCUACUUUAAUCACUUUCCUAACACUUUCUGCAUUGCAUUUGAUCGUCGUAAUUAACAAAUGGAGAAAUACUCCUAAUCAUUAUUCACUGAGAAAUAAUCAAUGCUCGACCACAUGCCACGACACAUUCAAAGUUUCAACCGUACGAUCCAACGAUAUAUUACAAAAUCGAACCGAUUAAAUUGUAUCUAAAACAUUAUUUAAACGGGUAUAAAUACAAAACAAAAUUCUUCGAUCUCAUCAGCUGGUUUCAGGAAUUCGAACGAUUCGAAAACAACGGACUGCAACUUUAUGCGCAAAACUUAUAAUUAACGUACGAUUUACGUAAU